rnacentral:SRP_RNA from 1 species
GCUGGGCGUGGUGGUGGGCGCCUGUAGUCCCAGCUACUUGGGAGGCUGAGGCAGGAGAAUCGCUUGAACCUGGGAGGCAGAGGUUGCAGUGAGCCAAGAUUGCGCCACUGCACUCCAGCAUAGACAACAGAGCAAGACUCCAUCUAAAAAAAAAAAAAAAAAAAGGCUUCGUUUGUUUAAACAUACAGAGUCUUGCUCUGUCAUCCAGGCUGGAGUGCAGUGGCAUGAUCUUCGCUCUCUGCAACCCCUGCCUCCCAGGUUCAAGCAAUUCUCGUGCCUCGG